UGUAUUCCUUAUCUGUUAUCUAUUUUCUAAUGGUUAUUGGAGCCUAUCUUCUGGUCAUACCUUUUGACGAAACUGCCUGUUAUGACCGGAAGAUAGGCCCUGCUAUAUAUUGCCGCUAAAACUCUCGGU
rnacentral:sRNA from 2 species